rnacentral:rRNA from 1 species
UUUCGAUCCUGGCUCAGGACGACGCUGGGCGGCGUGCCUAAUACAUGCAAGUCGAGCGGAGUUAAUCGGGAGCUUGCUCCUGAUUAGCUUAGCGGCGGACGGGUGAGUAACACGUAGGCAACCUGCCCGUAAGACUGGGAUAACUACCGGAAACGGUAGCUAAUACCGGAUACGCAAAUUCCUCGCAUGGGGGAUUUGGGAAAGGCGGAGCAAUCUGUCACUUACGGAUGGGCCUGCGGCGCAUUAGCUGGUUGGUGAGGUAACGGCUCACCAAGGCGACGAUGCGUAGCCGACCUGAGAGGGUGAACGGCCACACUGGGACUGAGACACGGCCCAGACUCCUACGGGAGGCAGCAGUAGGGAAUCUUCCGCAAUGGACGAAAGUCUGACGGAGUAACGCCGCGUGAGUGAUGAAGGUUUUCGGAUCGUAAAGCUCUGUUGCCAGGGAAGAACGUCCUCUAGAGUAACUGCUAGGGGAGUGACGGUACCUGAGAAGAAAGCCCCGGCUAACUACGUG